rnacentral:rRNA from 1 species
GACGAACGCUGGCGGCGCGCUUAACACAUGCAAGUCGAACGGGAAGGCCUGCUUUCCCUUGUGGAUUGCGGGUACUCGAGUGGCGAACGGGUGAGUAACACGUGAGUGAUCUGCCCCCAACUUGGGUAUAAGCCUGGGAAACUGGGUCUAAUUCCCGAUAGGACUGCAGGGUGGUGCCUGUGGUGGAAAACGAUUUUCUAGUGGUUGGGGAUGAGCUCGCGGCCUAUCAGCUUGUUGGUGGGGUAAUGGCCUACCAAGGCGGCGACGGGUAGCCGGCCUGAGAGGGUGGACGGCGACAUUGGGACUGAGAUACGGCCCAGACUCCUACGGGAGGCAGCAGUGGGGAAUAUUGCACAAUGGGCGGAAGCCUGAUGCAGCGACGCCGCGUGGGGGAUGACGGCCUUCGGGUUGUAAACUCCUUUCGACCGCGAGGAAGCCGCCUGGUUGGAAGGGUGGUGACGGUAGUGGUAGAAGAAGCACCGGCUAACUACGUG